AUUGAACGCUGGCGGCAUGCCUUACACAUGCAAGUCGAACGGUAGAGGUAGCAAUACCUUGAGAGUGGCGAACGGGUGAGUAAUGCAUCGGAACAUGCCCAGUCGUGGGGGAUAACGUAGCGAAAGUUACGCUAAUACCGCAUACGAUCUAUGGAUGAAAGCGGGGGACCGUAAGGCCUCGCGCGAUUGGAGUGGCCGAUGUCAGAUUAGGUAGUUGGUGGGGUAAAGCCUACCAAGCCAACGAUCUGUAGCUGGUCUGAGAGGACGACCAGCCACACUGGGACUGAGACCCGGCCCAGACUCCUACGGGAGGCAGCAGUGGGGAAUUUUGGACAAUGGACGCAAGUCUGAUCCAGCAAUGCCGCGUGCAGGACGAAGGCCCUCGGGUUGUAAACUGCUUUUGUACGGAACGAAAAGUUCGGGGUUAAUACCCUUGGGCGAUGACGGUACCGUAAGAAUAAGCACCGGCUAACUACGUGCCAGCAGCCGCCGUAA
rnacentral:rRNA from 1 species